rnacentral:rRNA from 1 species
UACGUAGGGUGCAAGCGUUGUCCGGAAUUAUUGGGCGUAAAGAGCUCGUAGGCGGUCUGUCGCGUCUGCUGUGAAAAUCCAGGGCUUAACCCUGGACCUGCAGUGGGUACGGGCAGACUGGAGUGCGGUAGGGGAGAUCGGAAUUCCUGGUGUAGCGGUGAAAUGCGCAGAUAUCAGGAGGAACACCGGUGGCGAAGGCGGAUCUCUGGGCCGUAACUGACGCUGAGGAGCGAAAGCAUGGGGAGCGAACAGG